rnacentral:misc_RNA from 1 species
GUGAAUCAUCGAAUCUUUGAACGCAAAUUGCACUCUCUGGUAUUCCGGGGAGUAUGCUUGUUUGAGGGUCAGUUUAAAUAAAAAUCGGUGUGGUUGUUGUCUUUCGUGGUGACGGACCGGAUUUGGGUCGUCUUGUCUUCGGUUAAGUUACCUAUGAUUUUGCAUGAUUUUUUUUGAACGUAUUUAAAUGCUUUUACGUACGUUUGCGCUUUCGGAUCUUAGGUGUGGU